rnacentral:rRNA from 1 species
AGAUUGAACGCUGGCGGCAGGCCUAACACAUGCAAGUCGAGCGGUAGAGAGGUGCUUGCAUCUCUUGAGAGCGGCGGACGGGUGAGUAAUGCCUAGGAAUCUGCCUAGUGGUGGGGGAUAACGUUCGGAAACGGACGCUAAUACCGCAUACGUCCUACGGGAGAAAGCGGGGGACCUUCGGGCCUCGCGCCAUUAGAUGAGCCUAGGUCGGAUUAGCUAGUUGGUGAGGUAAUGGCUCACCAAAGGCGACGAUCCGUAACUGGUCUGAGAGGAUGAUCAGUCACACUGGAACUGAGACACGGUCCAGACUCCUACGGGAGGCAGCAGUGGGGAAUAUUGGACAAUGGGCGAAAAGCCUGAUCCAGCCAUGCCGCGUGUGUGAAGAAAGGUCUUCGGAUUGUAAAAGCAACUUUAAGUUGGAGGAAGGUUGUAACCUAAUACGUGACAACUUUGACGUUACCGAACAGAAUAAGACAACCGGCUAAACUUACGUGACCAGCAGCCGUA